rnacentral:rRNA from 1 species
AGAGUUUGAUCAUGGCUCAGAUUGAACGCUGGCGGUAUGCUUAACACAUGCAAGUCGAACGGAAACGAUGUUAGCUUGCUAACAGGCGUCGAGUGGCGGACGGGUGAGUAACGCGUAGGAAUCUACCAAGUAGUGGGGGAUAGCCCGGAGAAAUCCGGAUUAAUACCGCAUAAUCUCUACGGAGUAAAGAGGGCCUCUAUUUAUAAGCUUUCGCUAUUUGAUGAGCCUGCGUAAGAUUAGCUUGUUGGUGAGGUAAAAGCUCACCAAGGCAACGAUCUUUAGCUGGUCUGAGAGGAUGAUCAGCCACACUGGGACUGAGACACGGCCCAGACUCCUACGGGAGGCAGCAGUGGGGAAUAUUGGACAAUGGGCGCAAGCCUGAUCCAGCAAUACCGCGUGUGUGAAGAAGGCCUGAGGGUUGUAAAGCACUUUCAAUUGUGAAGAAAAGCUAAAGAUUAAUAC